rnacentral:rRNA from 1 species
UUUGAUCAUGGCUCAGGAUGAACGCUAGUACAGGCUUAACACAUGCAAGUCGAGGGGCAGCAUUUCAGUUUGCUUGCAAACUGGAGAUGGCGACCGGCGCACGGGUGAGUAACACGUAUCCAACCUGCCGAUAACUCGGGGAUAGCCUUUCGAAAGAAAGAUUAAUACCCGAUGGUAUAAUCAGACCGCAUGGUUUGUUAUUAAAGAAUUUCGGUUAUCGAUGGGGAUGCGUUCCAUUAGGCAGUUGGUGAGGUAACGGCUCACCAAACCUUCGAUGGAUAGGGGUUCUGAGAGGAAGGUCCCCCACAUUGGAACUGAGACACGGUCCAAACUCAUACGGGAGGCAGCAGUGAGGAAUAUUGGUCAAUGGGCGCAGGCCUGAACCAGCCAAGUAGCGUGAAGGAUGACUGCCCUAUGGGUUGUAAACUUCUUUUAUAUGGGAAUAAAGUUUUCCACGUGUGGAAUUUUGUAUGUACCAUAUGAAUAAGGAUCGGCUAACUCCGUGCCAGCAGCCGCGGUAAUACGGAGGAUCCGAGCGUUAUCCGGAUUUAUUGGGUUAAAAGGGAGCGUAGGUGGACAGUUAAGUCAGUUGUGAAAGUUUGCGGCUCAACCGUAAAAUUGCAGUUGAUACUGGCUGUCUUGAGUACAGUAGAGGUGGGCGGAAUUCGUGGUGUAGCGGUGAAAUGCUUAGAUAUCACAAAGAACUCCGAUUGCGAAGGCAGCUCACUGGACUGCAACUGACACUGAUGCUCGAAGUGUGGGUAUCAAGCAGGAUUAGAUACCCUGGUAGUCCACACAGUAAACAAUGACUACUCGCUGUUAUGCGAUAUACAGUAGGCGGCCAAGCGAAAGCAUUAACUAUUCCACCUAGGGGAGUACGCCGGAAACGGUUAAACUCCAAAUGAAUUGACGGGGGCCCGCACAAGCGAGAGACAUGUGGUUUAAUUCGAUGAUACGCGAGGAACUUACCCGGGCUUAAAUUGCAUUUGAAUAUAUUGGAAACAGUAUAGCCGCAAGGCAAAUGUGAAGGUGCUGCAUGGUUGUCGUCAGCUCGUGCCGUGAGGUGUCGGCUUAAGUGCCAUAACGAGCGCAACCCUUAUCUUUAGUUACUAACAGGUCAUGCUGAGGACUCUAGAGAGACUGCCGUCGUAAGAUGUGAGGAAGGUGGGGAUGACGUCAAAUCAGCACGGCCCUUACGUCCGGGGCUACACACGUGUUACAAUGGGGGGUACAGAAGGCAGCUACCUGGUGACAGGAUGCUAAUCCCAAAAGCCUCUCUCAGUUCGGAUCGAAGUCUGCAACCCGACUUCGUGAAGCUGGAUUCGCUAGUAAUCGCGCAUCAGCCAUGGCGCGGUGAAUACGUUCCCGGGCCUUGUACACACCGCCCGUCAAGCCAUGAAAGCCGGGGGUACCUGAAGUACGUAAC